rnacentral:lncRNA from 1 species
AUGGGAACUGUUGAUAUAAACAGUAGUGAUUCUGCCAAGUUUGAAAGAAACAAGAUGCUGCAAGAUGGAGGUCAGGCAGGUGAGAGGUCUAAAUCACUGUUCAGUAGGGAAAUGGAAAUUGAAACAACUCUGAGGUAUUACCUCACAACUAUCAGAUUGGCUAUUAUGACAGAAAAGGAAAAUAAUAAAUGUUGGAAGAGAGUUGGGAAAAUUGGGACACAUAACACUGUUAGUGGAGUUGUGAACUAAUCUAAUCUGGAGAUCAAUUUGGAACUAUGCCUAAAGGGUUAUAAAACUCUGCAUACCCUUUGAUUCAGCAAUAAUGGAUAUUUUCAAAUGGAAAAGAACCUAUUUGUACAAAAAUAUAGCUCUUUUUGUGGUGACUGAGAACUGGAAACUGAGGACAUACCCAUCAAUUGAGGAAUGACUGAACAAGUUGUAUAUUAUUUUAAUGUAAUAAAUGUGCUAUAAUUAAUGAUGAGCAGCCAGAUUUCAGAAAAACUGGGUAUGAACUGACAAACUAAAGUGAACAAACCAGGAGAGCACUGCACACAGUAACAGCGAUAUUGUCUGAUGAACAACUGUGAAUGGUUUAGUUACUUUUUACAAUUAUAAUGAUCCAAGGCAAUCCUAAAGGACUCAUGAUGAAAAACACAUCUGUCUCUAGAGAAAGAACUGAUGGAUUUUGAAUGCAGAUUGAAGCAUACACAUUUUCACUCUCUUUUGUUUAAUUUCGAGGUUCCUCCCCAAAAUGAUGAGUGUGGAAAUGUUUUACAUGAUUAUACAUGUAUAACCCCUAUCAGAAUGCUUACCCUCUGAGGCAAGAAGAGGAAGGAGGGACGGAAUUUGGAACUCAACACUUUAAAAAAUGGAUAUUAAACAUUGUUUUUACCUGGAUGGGGGGAAAAUAAAAUAUUUUGGGAAAAAUACAUGAAUCAUUAAAUUGAAGCCAAGAGCCAGAAUUGCUGCCUGAAGACUUUUGCGUUUUGGAAGAGGCCAGAGCAGCCCACGUAGUCUUCCCAAUGCAUUCGCAGGAAGUGCUCCUUCAUUAGGAAUGUUGUGCUGCUGUGUUUGGUAGAGAUCAAGAAGCUUAUUAGGGCAUCGGGAAGAGUGGGAAGAAGGGGAAAGGGCUGGCUCACUCCCUCAUGUCUGGAAGUUUAAGAGUCCAAACAAAGAAACAGUUUUCAGAUACAAGAGUUGCCUGAGAUAUGUAAUGGGUAAAAACUCCUUAUCUUCCUUGCAGCACUCUUUUGCUCCCCUGGAAGAUUUUUAGUCAGCAUCACCUGGAAUCCUGAGUUAUGUGUUAAACAAAUCUGGUCUCUAAGCAACGUGUCUGGAUUUCAGCCAACUUUUUUGAAGUUCAAACAAAGGUUCAAAUUGCCCUGUUGUACUACUUCCCACUUUUGUGGUGAAAGAACUUAACCUUUUCGGUACUAAGUUGUCUGUAAAUUUUUUUUUGAGAGGGGAUGACUAUAGAGGAGAUAGAAAGGUGAUUUCUCUGGUCUGUUGUAGUUCCAAAUCUAAUCUUUACAGCCAUUGCUUUGGUGGAGUUUAGCAGAAGUUUUUCUGAAGGCUUGUUCCUAGUAGUUGUAGCAGAAAUAAUCCUUUGCCCAGAAAGUCUUGGGAAAGGAGAUUACUUCUUAAAUAGAACAAUUUGGUACUUUCAGCAGACAGUCAGCGUUUUCAACACCUAUGACCAGGCUUUUUUUUUUUUUUUAUUAUAAUAACUUUUUAUUGACAGAAUCCAUUGCAGGGUAAUUUUUUUACAACAUUAUCCCUUGCACUCACUUCUGUUCUGAUUUUUCCCCUCUCUCCCUUUACCACCCUCCCCCAGAUGGCAAGCAGUCCUAUAUAUGUUAAAUAUGUCGCAGUAUAUCCUAGAUACAAUAUAUGUGUGCAGAACCGGACAGUUCUCUUGUUGCACAGGAAGAAUUGGAUUCAGAAGGUAGAAAUAGCCCAGGAAGAAAACCAAAAAUGCAAACAGUUUACAUUCAUUUCCUAGUGUUCUUUCUUUGGGUGUAGCUGCUUCUGUCCAUCCUUGAUCAACUGAAACUGAGUUAGAUCUUCUCUUUGUCAAAGAAAUCCACUUCCACCAGAAUAUAUCCUCAUACAGUAUCGUUGUUGAGGUAUAUAAUGAUCUCCUGGUUCUGCUCAUUUCACUCAGCAUCAGUUCGUGUAAGUCUCUCCAAGCCUCUCUGUAUUCAUCCUGCUCCUCGUCAUUUCUUAUAGAACAAUAAUAUUCCAUAACAUUAUGACCAGGCUUUAAGAAGCUUGGAGUGGGUGCAUAAAUUGUGUGGCUGGUCAGGUUUUUCCCCAUUCCUCUGCCCCAUGUUUUAGAAGUAAAAUCUUUGCUUAAAAGUGCUUAUAAAUGCUGUAUUUAUAAUAAUUCUCAUUUUCUCCCCUCACUUCCCCAGAUGAGCAAUUUGCUACAGAGCCAGCGUCUGGGUAAACAGUGUCCUGAUUGACUAUAACCAGAUUACAUUUCCCCACUCCUAGCUGUUAAACCAUUAAAAGACUGCAUCAAUAAAGACUUGUGAGUUAGAAAUACUGAGAACAGCUGGUGUGUAAACUGACAAGUCCAGGUGAGAUUUGAGGGGCAUAGGACGUUAGCAUUAACAGAAAUCUCUAUUCAAUCAGUGUAUGUUUAUCCUAGCCUGCAAUUAGUUGACCGGCUCUACCUUUGUGAGAGAUAUUCCCUUUGUGUUUUAAGUCCAGUUGGCCCCGGGUUUGUAGAGGCAUCUGCCAUCUGUUGUGCAGGGAACGUUAAGCAGUCCUUUCCAACUCUGUUGUUGGGUGGUUGUUUCAAUGUAAUUAAUGACCACCUGCAGCAAACCAAUUUUCAUAGCACCCAAUAGUUGUGGCUGUUUUUAAUCACAAUUAUUUUAUUCCAGAUUGCUGAGAAAGAUGGUAACAGAGACUAAAAGACACUUUUUAUAGCACACUCACUUUUCAGUAGGUAUACCUUUUUUGCUUCAUCUCCUUUUGAUAUUUUUGUUUUCUGAGACAGUUGGGGUUAAGUGACUUGCCCAGGGUCACACAGAUAGGACAUCUUAAGUGUCUGAGGCUACAUUUGAACUCAGGUCCUCCUGACUUCAGGGCUGAUGCUCUAUCCACCGCACCAUCUAGCCACCCUUGGACACAGUUUUGUCAGGACACUGGCAUCCAGUCUGAAGGUUACACCUUCUUGGGCUGGUUUGUGCCUGGUCAAAGCAGCCGUCCUUCAAAGCAAGGAGGUUUUCUUUCUCCUGCUGCCUUUUGGAUUUCAGUGAAUGAGAACUUCAACUUCACAGAACAAAGGAAUAGGAGGAGGGUCAGCGGUGCUCAAGGGAAGCUGCAUCCGUCGGGCUUCUCUGCUCCAGGAGCCCCAGCUUCUCAUUUCGGGCAGUCUUUUGUAGAGAUGAUUGUGAUUGCUUCCCGUUCGGCCUGUUUGUUGAUACAAAUGAGUGGAAUCAGGGAAAUGCCUCCCUGAGGAAACGUCAGAACCGCUCAACAAUAGGUUGCUCUGACACCCCUUUAGUUUACUUUUCUCUGCCUAAAUUAAAUAGACUUGCUCUUUGUCCAGUCCUUCCAAACGUGUGUCAUAAUCUGUAUAAUGGACAUUCUCUUUCCCCUUGUUUUUUCCUGAGUAGUUAACUAAACUUUCUCGAAUGGUUAUAGAUAUUAUGUAGUCUCUGUAGUGUUCUGGGAAUUGCUGCAAUCUACACAAAUCUUUAAAAAAAAAAAAAAAAGCACCUGGAUGAUUUGCCAACCUGCAGAGAAAACCCCUUUCACUAUUUCUCAGGGAAUGAUGAUAAGCAUGUCUUCCUGUUUUGUUUCUCACUUGACAGUAACAUGGUUAAGAAGCCUAAUUGUCUCUGCUAUUUUAACAAUAUUCUUUAAGUGAUGCUGGAUGGCACAUAGUUGCAUAGAGGCAUCAGACAGAAGUGUACUCAGAAAAGAAAAGUAGACUGGAAGGGAUAACCAAUGGGCAGUUUGUAUACUCCAUAGGAAAAAAAAAAUUUUUUAAGUGCAACAAGAUAAACUUGUGCAACAACAGUGCAACAACAUAAUAUAUAUAAUAUAUUAAAUUAAUAUUAAAGUGCAACAACAUAAUAUAUAUAAGUGCAACAAGUGCAACAAGACUGAGCAUGUUGGGUGGAUUUCCAGAUAGAAGUGGAUAAUAGUUGCACUUUAUAAGGAAUCUCAUGUCAUUUUGACAUGUGCAUGGGAGGUAGCUAGUUGGAAGUCAUACAUAAACCUAAUUUUGAUGUUGGACUUUUUACCUGGAAAAAGUUUGUAAACUAGACAAACACAGUCUUUCUUUCAGGCUCCACAUCAUUGAAUUUUUUCUGUAUUUUGAUUUAAAAUAGGAAUAAAGUAAAAAAUGCUUGCUCACAUAAUAUAUAAUGGAAUAUAUAUAUAAUUUUACAUUCUCAAUGAGAAAUGAAAAUUCAUUUUUCAUUUUUAUCACGAAUUUGUUUUGUAAUUGUCAUUUUAAAA